rnacentral:rRNA from 2 species
UGGGGAAUAUUGGACAAUGGGGGCAACCCUGAUCCAGCCAUGCCGCGUGUGUGAAGAAGGCCUUUUGGUUGUAAAGCACUUUAAGCAGUGAAGAAGACUCCAUGGUUAAUACCCAUGGACGAUGACAUUAGCUGCAGAAUAAGCACCGGCUAACUCUGUGCCAGCAGCCGCGGUAAUACAGAGGGUGCAAGCGUUAAUCGGAAUUACUGGGCGUAAAGCGAGCGUAGGUGGCUUGAUAAGUCAGAUGUGAAAUCCCCGGGCUUAACCUGGGAACUGCAUCUGAUACUGUUAGGCUAGAAUAGGUGAGAGGAAGGUAGAAUUCCAGGUGUAGCGGUGAAAUGCGUAGAGAUCUGGAGGAAUACCGAUGGCGAAGGCAGCCUUCUGGCAUCAUAUUGACACUGAGGUUCGAAAGCGUGGGUAGCAAACAGG